GCCAGAGGAGGCAAUCGUUAUCCGGAAUUAUUGGGCGUAAAGCGUUCGUAGGUGGUUUGACAAGUCUGGGGUUAAAGCCCGGAGCCCAACUCCGGAUCGGCCCUGGAAACUGUCAGACUUGAGUAAGGUAGGGGUUGCGGGAAUUCCCGGUGUAGCGGUGAAAUGCGUAGAUAUCGGGAAGAACACCAGCGGCGAAAGCGCGCAACUGGGCCAUUACUGACACUGAGGGACGAAAGCUAGGGGAGCGAAUGGG
rnacentral:rRNA from 1 species